UUAUUCAUUAAUUUUCUAAAUCAUUCCAUAAUAACUUUAGUAUUAAUACUAUCAAAUGUUGUAAAUCAUUCCAUCUCUUUCAAUGCGUGUAAUGAAACAUGUUAUGGUAGAAAUUUGGGAUAAACAACCAACACUUAGAAUUACUCUUAAGUUCGGUAUUGAUUUCGGUGACCUGCGUAAGAGAACAAAUGCUACCGGUCGGGGUGAGACCGCUACAAACUCUUCAAGUGUGGAGAUGAGAUUGAGGUCAUAAGCUAGAUAGAGUAGAGCAGGAAAAUAAUAGAGUUAAAGCUCAGAGAGUGAGAAUGCAAUUACCCUUUCUGGUGGAUGGUGAGCAGUUUUUUAUAGAUGGAGAAUUUAGAGUUGUGCGAGAAUAUCACAGCGCAAUCAUCGCCCAACCAAGUAUGAAAAGCGUGGCUGAGGAUUUCUGAGUAAAAGGCGGAGAGUGCCAAAUGGAGAGUGCACCACGAAUAUAGGAAACUUGAUGGAGAUAGAGUCUCAAGGUCAUCUCAUCCUCAGAGUGACGGGCGAGAUGGAUAAGAUCGGAAAUAGAGAGCAUUCUAGAAAAUUCGAGCUUAAUGAGGUGAUCGCAUCAGAUAAGUUGACAUGAUUGCGUCUACUUGGCGACAUACUUAUUUCAGCAGGUAAAAAUUAUACCCCUCAACAAAACUCAAUGCCUAUGUG
rnacentral:lncRNA from 1 species